rnacentral:rRNA from 1 species
UACGUAGGGUGCGAGCGUUAAUCGGAAUUACUGGGCGUAAAGCGUGCGUAGGCGGUUCGCUGUGUCCGAAUGUCGAAAGCCCCGGGGCUUAACCUGGGAAUGGCAUUGGAAACUGGCGGGCUUGAGUGCGGCAGAGGGGGGUGGAAUUCCGCGUGUAAGCAGUGAAAUGCGUAGAGAUGCGGAGGAACACCGAUGGCGAAGGCAGCCCCCUGGGUCGACACUGACGCUCAGGCACGAAAGCGUGGGGAGCAAACAGG